UACAGAGGGGGCAAGCGUUAUUCGGAAUUAUUGGGCGUAAAGGGCGCGUAGGCGGCCUGGCAAGUGGAAGGUGAAAUCCCUCGGCUUAACCGAGGAACUGCCCUCCAAACUGCUUGGCUUGAGUCCGGGAGAGGUGAGUGGAAUUCCCAGUGUAGCGGUGAAAUGCGUAGAUAUUGGGAGGAACACCAGUGGCGAAGGCGGCUAACUGGUCCAGAUCUGACGCUGAGGUGCGAAAGCGUGGGGAGCAAACAGG
rnacentral:rRNA from 1 species